GCGGUCAUCGUAUAAAGGAUAUUAUCUUAGCCUUCCAAGCUAAUGAUGCGGGUUCGAUUCCCGCUGACCGCU
rnacentral:tRNA from 2 species